rnacentral:rRNA from 1 species
UACGUAGGGUGCGAGCGUUUAAUCGGAAUUACUGGGCGUAAAGCGUGCGCAGGCGGUUGUGCAAGACAGAGGUGAAAAUCCCCGGGCUUAACCUGGGAAUGGCCUUUGUGACUGCACGGCUAGAGUGUGUCAGAGGGGGGGUAGAAUUCCACGUGUAGCAGUGAAAUGCGUAGAGAUGUGGAGGAAUACCGAUGGCGAAGGCAGCCCCCUGGGAUAACACUGACGCUCAUGCACGAAAGCGUGGGGAGCAAACAGG